rnacentral:rRNA from 1 species
AACGAACGCUGGCGGCAUGCCUAACACAUGCAAGUCGAACGAGACCUUCGGGUCUAGUGGCGCACGGGUGCGUAACGCGUGGGAACCUGCCCUUAGGUUCGGAAUAACUCCCCGAAAGGGGUGCUAAUACCGGAUAAUGUCUUCGGACCAAAGAUUUAUCGCCUUUGGAUGGACCCGCGUUGGAUUAGCUAGUUGGUAGGGUAAAAGCCUACCAAGGCGACGAUCCAUAGCUGGUCUGAGAGGAUGAUCAGCCACACUGGGACUGAGACACGGCCCAGACUCCUACGGGAAGCAGCAGUGGGGAAUAUUGGACAAUGGGCGAAAGCCUGAUCCAGCAAUGCCGCGUGAGUGAUGAAGGCCUUAGGGUUGUAAAGCUCUUUUACCCGGGAUGAUAAUGACAGUACCGGGAGAAUAAGCUCCGGCUAACUCCGUG